rnacentral:rRNA from 1 species
CCUACGGGUGGCAGCAGUGGGGAAUAUUGGACAAUGGGGGCAACCCUGAUCCAGCCAUGCCGCGUGUGUGAAGAAGGCCCUCGGGUUGUAAAGCACUUUCAGUGAGGAAGAACGCCUGGUGGUUAAUACCCAUCAGGAAAGACAUCACUCACAGAAGAAGCACCGGCUAACUCCGUGCCAGCAGCCGCGGUAAUACGGAGGGUGCGAGCGUUAAUCGGAAUUACUGGGCGUAAAGCGCGCGUAGGUGGCUUGAUAAGCCGGUUGUGAAAGCCCCGGGCUCAACCUGGGAACGGCAUCCGGAACUGUCAAGCUAGAGGGCAGGAGAGGAAGGUAGAAUUCCCGGUGUAGCGGUGAAAUGCGUAGAGAUCGGGAGGAAUACCAGUGGCGAAGGCGGCCUUCUGGACUGACACUGACACUGAGGUGCGAAAGCGUGGGUAGCAAACAGGAUUAGAUACCCGAGUAGUC